AUAGCAUGCUGGGAACCUGGGUGCUAGACAGAAGGCUGUGGGUGCCAAGGUGGGAUCUCAGGGAGUAAAACACCAGGUUCUGCAGCAUUUCUGGGGCCAGCUGAGGUUACUGAAGAUCUCUGAUAAGAGCCUGAGUACACACCCAUUGUUUUCUUAUAUGGUUGUAAAAUGAGCAGAAUAAAAAUGUGGCUGAUGCAGAACAUGACUGGACAGUUUGGCACUAGAUAUAACAUGACUCCUUUUUGGGUUUCACACCACAAGUCGUCCUACAUAGGUAAAGCACCUAAUGUGAGGAAGCCUGGGACUGCAAUUGUUCUUCCAUAAAACAGGCCUGAAUAGCAUCUGACCAUGAGGAAGGGGCGGUUGACAUGUAGAGAUUUUCACCACAAUCUACAUCUGAAAAGAAAAAGGGACUGAGAAAUGAAGAAAACAUGCACAUGUGAGAACAAGUAAAAGUUGCUCUGAGAUCCCUGGCAGCUUUCAUCCCAGAAGGGAUGGCAGGGAUUUUUUUCUGGUUCCGUGACACCACCUUUUGUCAAUUCUGAAGUCAUCUGACCGAUUUGCAGCGUGGCCAACCUGUUUGGCUGGUAGUUUGGUUGUUGACAGACCUUGUACGUGUCAGUAGAUACACAUGCACAUGUGCACUAUAAUAGAUUCAUGACUGUAUUUUUGAUAUUUGGAAGGUGGCAGCUCUAAUCAUCAUUCAGUUCACAGUCCUGUAAUCUUGGGAAAAUCACAAUAAUUCAAACUUAAUUCUGGUACACACUAAAUUGUCUACUGUGUCGUGUAUUUGCCUACUGUUUUUAUUCAGGUCUAGUGCCCUGACCAACCUUACUACAUAUGCAUCACUUCUCAUGUGGGGUUCACUUUAGCAAGAACCAUUGGAUUCAAAUUUUUUUUUUUUUUUUAGGCAAAAAGCAUGAGAACUGAAGGU